rnacentral:lncRNA from 1 species
UAAUGUUACUCGAUCAUUAUCAAACUUAUUCCAAUUUUGGACUUCUCCCUUCACCUCCCCACUUAUCUCCAUGGUUCUUGAAUUUCAAUUUCUGGCGCUUUCAUGUACCAGUGGGUAGGGUGCCGGUUUUCCUAACUCUGUUUCCAAUCCACUGCAUUCCUCUAUGUUUCUAUGUGAUGGUUUAGUCUAACAAGUAUAGCAAGUGUAGGUAAUAAGUGGACAUGUGCCAUCCUCUUUCUUUCAGACUAAAGACAGCUGAGCAACAAGAUACCUUGAACCGCUCA